rnacentral:rRNA from 1 species
AUCCCCGACAUUGCUGCCCCGGAGGCGGAGACGCCGGCACUGGCACGAGCGACCCCCACCAUCCGGCCGCUCCCCUCUCCCCCCAAAUCUCCACAGCCCGCAAUGGCGCCGGCGCCGGCGGGGGCCUCGCCUGCCCGCAAGCGGAGGUCCGCCGACGAGCCGCCGCUCGUCGUGACCGAGCGCGCGACAAGGGGGCGUCCGCCCAGGGAGGAUGCCGACCCCGAGUUCGUCGGGGAUCCCAUCCCCGCCGACGAAGCUCGGGCCAAGUUUCCCCACCGCUACCACCGCCAGCGCAGAAAUGGGGAGGGGGAGGAGGAGGAGGUGAAGGCGCGCUGCCAUUACCGGGCAGCCCAGGUGGAAGGAAUCGUCUAUAACCUCCGUGAUGAUGUGUAUGUAGCGGCUGAGGAAGGAAAGCCCCAUUUCAUUGGUAGGAUCACCGAACUUUUUGAGGGAACAGACCAUGUCAAGUACUUCAACUGCCGUUGGUUCUUCCGGUCAGAGGACACAGUGAUCUCGACCGCGAAAUUGGUUGAUGAUCAUAGUCAUGAUCCCAAGCGGGUCUUCCUCUCUGACGAGAGGAACGACAACCCGCUUGACUGUAUAGUGUCCAAGGUUAAAAUACUGCAAGUCGAUCCCAAGCUUGAUCUGGAAGCAAAAGCCCAACUAGCGGCUGACAACGAUCUGUACUAUGACAUGUCGUACACUGUGCCCUACUCUACCUUUGAAAAUAUCACAAAUGAUAUAAAUGAAAUUUCAGGGAUUUCUUCGGAUGCUGAUUCGGAGGUUGACACCUCUGUGGCAACCGCAACGCUACUUGACCUUUAUUCUGGUUGCGGUGGCAUGUCCACUGGAUUGUGCUUGGGCGCUGCACUAGCUGGAUUGAAACUUGAGACGAGGUGGGCUGUUGAUUUUAACAGCCACGCGUGCAAAAGCUUGAAGUCCAACCAUCCCAAGACCGAGGUGCGGAACGAGAAGGCUGAUGAUUUUCUAUCUCUUUUAAAAGAAUGGGCAGUUCUAUGUGACCAAUAUGUCCAUGAUAAUAAUGCUGAGGCACCUCCUUCGAUGGAUGAGGAGGAGGAAGAGGGUGAACUCAAAAAGGACGAAUAUGUCGUACAAAAACUCAUUGAUAUCUGCUAUGGUGGCAUUGAUAGGAAAAGUUGCAUUUAUUUCAAAGUGCAAUGGAAGGGAUACGGUCCCGAAGAGGAUACCUGGGAGCCCAUUGAAAACCUUAGCGAUUGCCCUUUAAAAAUAAAGGAGUUUGUUCAAGAAGGCCACAUGCGAAAAGUAUUACCACUGCCUGGUGAUGUAGAUGUCUUGUGUGGGGGCCCGCCUUGUCAAGGGAUAAGCGGGUUAAAUCGGUUCAGAAACCGUGACGACCCACUAAAUGAUGAUAAGAAUAGGCAGCUGGUCACUUUUAUGAACAUCGUUUCCUAUUUGCGGCCGAAGUUCGUUUUGAUGGAAAAUGUGGUGGAUAUACUGCAAUUUGCCGAAGGAUAUCUAGGUAGGUAUGCGUUGAGCCGAUUGGUGGCUAUGAACUACCAGUCUCGGCUGGGUAUUAUGUUAGCAGGUUGUUACGGGCUUCCACAGUUCCGCAUGCGCACCUUCCUAUGGGGUGCCCUCACUACAAUGGUGCUCCCAAAGCAUCCUCUCCCCACGCAUAAUGUUGUUAUACGAGGCGGGGCGCCGAAUGCAUUCACGCAAAGUGUUGUGGCAUAUGACGAAAUUCAAAAUCCAACCUUGAAGAAUGCCUUGGUUCUUGAAGAUGCGAUCUCAGAUUUACCGAAGGUUGGUAACGAUCAAGCUGAUGACGUAAUGGAAUACCUUGUGAAACCAAAGACAGAAUUUCAGCGCUACAUUCGUCUUAGCCGUAAAGAAAUGUUGGACUACUCAUUCGGUGAUAAAACCGGUCCUGGAGAAGGCACGCUAAUGGAUCACUGUCCUCUGAGGUUGAAUAAAGAUGAUUAUGAGCGCGUUAAGCGAAUACCAUUUGAGAAGGGAGCCAACUUCCGUGACCUGGAAGGCGUAAGAGUAGGGCCAAACAACGUCGCUGAGUUUGACCCUGAGAUUCCACGAGUUUACCUUGAGUCCGGUAAUCCAUUGGUCCCUGAAUAUGCAAUCAAGUUCAGGAGCGGCAAGUCUCUCAGGCCGUUUGGACGACUGUGGUGGGAUGAGACGGUCCCUACAGUGGUGACCAGUGCAAACCCACACAGCCAGAGAAUAUUACACCCGAGCCAGGCCCGAGUUCUGACCGUCCGCGAGAAUGCGAGGCUGCAGGGGUUCCCGGAUUAUUAUCGCCUGGAUGGUCCCAUCAAGGAGCGGUACAUGCAAGUCGGCAACGCGGUGGCGGUCCCUGUGGCCCGGGCCUUGGGGUACUCUCUGGGCCUGGCGUACCUGCGCAAACACGACGGGAGCGACGGCCCGAUGCUGGUGCUGCCUGCCAACUUCUUCAGCCCAGGGCAGACCGAGGCCGUCGUGCCCGCGGACGAGGUUGCAGAGGAGUAGGACGCAGAGAGCUCCCGUUGCUGCUGGUCUAUUGAACUGGGGCCAUUUGCUGAAAUUGAGCUAGGUUGCUGUGAUUGGCUAGGAUUGGAGUUUUGUGAUUGGCUAGGAUUCGAGAUUGUGCACACUCGUGCUUGAGCGCGUUUUUUCUGCCUUGGUUGUAUUUUUCUCAACAUUAUCAUUGGUUCCCAAUUGAUGAUUUUCAUCAAUAAAGUGGUGGUCAUUGGGCCCAUCCAACAAUUUC